rnacentral:lncRNA from 1 species
ACAAAUGCAGGUGCAUACAUGCAUGUAAUAUGAAAUACAUGUACAUGUACACAUCAAAAUUUGUAGUUCAAAAUUUAUAUGUACCUUCAAAGUCAUUAGACGUCUGUAAUGAAAUAUGCAAUGAACAGCCACAAAUAUAAGGCUUCUAUUUGUAUGUGCCAUUAAGGGCAGGAGGCUGUUGACCAUGCAGGCUUUGAAAAUUUUAUACCCAAAUGGUUAGGGAUAAAUCUGAAACACAACAAGCAAACAUUAUCUAUAGCUUGUAUAAAAUAGUAGCAAAACCGCCAUAAGUAGAUUUCCAAAUAAAAACAUGAUCAUGACGAGUUAAAAAAAACCACAAAAAAAAAACAACAAAGAAACAGAACAAGAAAGGGGAAAGAUUGCCAAAGACUAUGAACAAGUUUUAAAUAUCAAACUCUUUAUUUUUUUAAUGUAAUAACUUGAAUGUAAAGAUUAUAGUUCUUAAUAAUGACAACC